CCCCUUCCUCUACCGGAAAUGGCUUGGACUCAUCUCACAAUGGACUUCAUCGAAGGCUUGCCAAAAUCAAAUGGAAAAGAAGUCAUUGUUGUGGUCGUGGACAGAUUCACCAAGUAUGCCCAUUUCAUCCCUCUUCCCCACCCAUACACAGUGCAUACUGUUGCUCAGGCUUUUGUCGACAAUGUCUUCAAGUUAGAUGGACCUCCCAUUAGCAUUGUCACAGACAGAGAUCGAAUAUUUGCCAGCAACAUGUGGCAGGGGAUAUUCAAGGCCAUGAAAAUCAAACUUAGACUCAGCAGAGCCUAUCAUCCCCAAAGUGACGGGCAAACGGAGAGAGUGAAUCAAUGCUUGGAAUCAUACCUGCGAUGCAUGAUAUUUGAGGAACCCAAGAAAUGGUGCUCA
rnacentral:rRNA from 1 species